rnacentral:misc_RNA from 1 species
UAAUAAGUGUUUUAUGGCACUUUUUAAAUCCAUAUCCACCUUGUGUGCAAUGUCGGUCGAGCUUCUUUUUUUGAGGAUCGACCAAACAUCAACCUUUAUUUUUUAACUCUUUGUCUGAAAAAAUAUUAUGAAUAAACAAUUCAAAAU